GAUGAACGCUGGCGGCGUGCUUAACACAUGCAAGUCGAACGAUGAAGCCGGAGCUUGCUCUGGUGAAUUAGUGGCGAACGGGUGAGUAACACGUGAGUAACCUGCCCUUGACUCUGGGAUAACUGCGGGAAACUGUAGCUAAUACCGGAUACGACCCUCGGAGGCAUCUCCUGGGGGUGGAAAGAAUUUCGGUCAAGGAUGGACUCGCGGCCUAUCAGCUAGUUGGUUAGGUAAAGGCUUACCAAGGCGACGACGGGUAGCCGGCCUGGAAGGGUGACCGGCCACACUGGGACUGGGACACGGCCCAGACUCCUACGGGAGGCAGCAGUGGGGAAUAUUGCACAAUGGGCGCAAGCCUGAUGCAGCAACGCCGCGUGAGGGAUGACGGCCUUCGGGUUGUAAACCUCUUUUAGCAGGGAAGAAGCGAAAGUGACGGUACCUGCAGAAAAAGCACCGGCUAACUACGUGCCAGCCGCCGCAGUAA
rnacentral:rRNA from 1 species